AUGUAUAAAAUACCCCCUUCUUCCUCUUAACUUUUAAAAACAUUCUGAAUCAUUUUGUUCUCUCAUUUCAGCUCCAUCGCAGACGUGAAGUAGCAGGCGAAAUUGAAGGCAAAUUCACAACUAAGGUAUGCACAUGUUCAUCCAGUAUUGGAUGUUUAGUAUCAUCGAUCAAGGACUAAUACUAAUCUUCAGGAAAUUGGAGAUUUCGUCCCUUAUGAUCACCCGAUUCUUCCUUCUGGGUCAGAUACAUUCCUCUCUCCGCAGGUGAGUUGGGUUCCGAUAUUUGCUGGUACCGAUUCGUACUAGCUUGUUUUUAAUUUAAUAGUAUUUCUUGUUCCAAGUUCUAGCUGGUUCUGUUGAUUAUGAUUUACUCUUUGUGCUGGUUUACCAAUAUUCAGUCAGAUUUUAUUUAUUUAUUUAUUUAUUUUCUGUUUUAGGAUGGAAUUGGGUGUUUAGAUAUUAAGUUAUGUAUCAUAUAAGAUCAAUUGUUCUAAUACAAGGUUUUAUUUUUUAAUUGUCACGGGCUUCUAUUCGAAAUCAGCUUUCUAGGGCUUUCAAAUUCUUUAUUAUUUGCUCGGUUACAGUUUUUUUUUACUCUAAUCAAGUUUUGUCAAUCAUGUAGAAUUUUCUAAUAAUUCAACGCAUUAUAAGGAUUAGGUAUUGGGUUAAAUCUCACUGGUUGAUUUUAGUGGGCCUUCCUGUCUAUAAAAUUUGAUACGAUUUAGUUGUGAGUAAAUCUACUCACACUUCAUAAUAUACUCCUUUUUAUACGAAACGGCAGCACUAAUGUCAUUUGAGUUAUAAACCCACCCAAACUAUAUCUUGUGUAUUGUAAAGGAAAUAGACCCUCUACAUUACCUCAUACAAAAUCUAGCUAGCCUUCGGUCAGAUUCUCCAUUUAAAACUUCCGAUGGUUUUAUUUGAGUUAUAUUUGUUGUUUCGUUGGCAUAUUGUUUUGGCUAAACUUACAUUUGUAUACAGUUUAUAGAUUUGGUUAAUUAACAUGAAAAAGAAUUAGAGAUUUAUUUGGAAUUUGGAGGAAUUUAGUAUUGAAUUUAUUUUUUUUCCAGAAGAGAGGAUGAAUCUUGUCAUCAACACCAUUUAUGAAGGAGAGAGCUCAUUUAAGUUGUUAAGUAACCAACUCAUCUAAAAGCUUAAGCUAUUAGAUGGAGGGCCCAACAAUGUAUAUCAUGCUAACACUCCCCCUUAAAUGCAACUUUUUUUUUUAUAGAGAAGGGAGAAAUCAAAGUGCAUUUGCACUAUUAAAUUAAUAGAAAGAUAAUUGUGCAGCUGGAAAAAUUUGAACCUAAGACUUUGCACACCCAGAGCUUUGAUACCAUGAAGGAAAUAUCUUCCGUGAGUCUUUCUCAUUACAUAAACUCAGUAUAUAUACAUGAUUACAAUGAUUGAUUCUAGGCUAUGAUUACAAUGCUUGAUUCUAGGCUAUGAUUACAAUGCUUGAUUCUAGGCUAUAAUUAAGGACAUGAAGAUUAUUUACAUACUAAAUAUAUACUCUAUCAUACCCCCGCAGUCGAAGCGGGAGGCUGUCGUACGUUGAGACUGUUUCGAAAAUCAUCAAAGAGUAUGCGCGGAAGUCCUUUCGUGAAAAUAUUAGCUAUCUGGUAGCGAGAUGGAACAUGAAGCACACGAACUUGUCCUCUUUCAACUUUCUCUCGGACAAAUAAGAUAUCCAUCUCAAUAUGCUUAGUUGGUUGAUGUUGUACAGGUUUACCAGAAAGAUAGAUGGCACUGACGUUAUUACAGUACACCAUUGUUGCCUUCUUGAUCGGAACAUGUAAUUCUAACAGUAGAUUUCGAAGCCAACAUGAUUCGGCAACAACAUUGGCGACACCUCUAUACUCAGCUUCAGCACUAAGACCGAGAUAAGGUGGGUUGUCGCUUAGACGACCAAGUAAUCAAAUUAUCUCCAAGAAAUACACAGUAAUCGGAUGUUGAUCGUCGAGUGUCAGGACACCCUCCCCAAUCCGCAUCUGUAUAGCCAGUAAGAACAGAAAACUUGGAUUUAUAUAGAUGCAAACCGAAGUCGCGCGAUCGACGAAGAUAUCGCAGGAUUCUCUUAAGUGCAAUCAUGUGUUCGCUCUUGGGGUCAUGCAUAUGCAAACAUACCUGUUGGACCGCAUAUGAGAUAUCUGGGCGGGUAAACGUAAGAUAUUGCAAGGCUCCGGCUAAGCUGCGAUAGUGCGUGGGGUCUGCAUAAAGUGCUCCACCUGAAUUGCUCAAUUUCGCCUUCGUAUCCACAGGAGUGGGUGACGGCUUGCAUGAAGACAUACCUGCCCUCUCAAUGAUGUCUUCAACAUAUUUUUUUUGGCAAAGAAAUAAACCUCUUUUGUGACGGGUCAUAGCAAUUCCCAAGAAAUAAUGUAAGGGACCCAAAUCUUUCAUAGCAAAUUCAGAUGCCAGGAUAGACAUGAUAUGUCGACGAAGAGCCUCAGAUGAUGUGGUAAGGAUUAUGUCGUCAACAUAGAGAAGAAUGUAUGCCAUGUCAUUUCCUUUACAAUAUAUAAACAAAGAAUGAUCCGAUUGGCUAUGCUUAAACCCCAUUGUAGAGACAAAAUUCGUAAACCGUUUAUACCAAGCACGGGGUGCCUGUUUGAGGCCAUACAGGGACUUCUUGAGCAAGCAUACAUAGUCUGGAUGGUUCGGGUCGCGGAAGCCCAUAGGUUGAUGUAUGUAGACAGUUUCUUGUAAGUGACCGUGUAAAAAUGCAUUCUUGACAUCCAGUUAAUGUAUGGACCAAGAAUUUGAUAAAGCCAAACUGAGCACAUGCGAAUUGUAGCGGGUUUCACUACCGGGCUGAAUGUUUGACCACAGUCAACACCAACCUGCUGAGACCUGCCAUCACCAACAAGACGAGCUUUAUGCCGCUCAAAAGAUCCAUCAGAUUUCUUUUUAUGACAAAAAAUCCACAUACACCGAAUAAUAUUCACAUUAGACGGACGGGACACUAACUCCCACGUCGUAUUUUUAAUAAGAGCAUCAUAUUCAUCCAACAUAGCCGCUUUCCAAUUCGGGUCGGACAACACAGUUUUGGGGUUAGAUGGCAGAGGGGAUUGCGAAACCGAAGAAGUUAAAUUAAAAUGACGUCUGGGCUUAAAAAUCCCAUGCAUGCUGUGUGUGGCCAUGGAGCGGUUUUGGUUUGGAAGGAAGGGGUGUAUGUGUGGAUCAGGUGGGGAGGUGGGCGGGUUGGGCUGGGAGCUUGAUGGGCUAGGGAGAAAUGGGGAGUUUUCUGGGUCGGGUGUAGGACUGGUUGCUGGAAAAGGGGAUUGUAGUGGGCCGGGUGGAGGAUCAUUAGGAGUGUUAUUGGAGUUGGGCCCAAUUUGCGGGCUGAUGGUGGGAGCAGGAAGAAUAACGAGCUCAUGUAACACGGGAUGGAUUCCAUCAUCAAGAAAUUCAUAGGUAUGGGAUGGAGGCGUAUGAAAAUUAGCAAAGGGGAAUUUAGUCUCAUCAAACACAACAUGUCGAGAGAUAAUUAUUUUGCGACUCGAGAGGUCAUAACACUUAUAUCCUCUAUGGUUUUGUGGGUAACCUAGAAAAACACACGGGUUAGAACGAGCUUGGAGUUUAUUAAUAUUGGUGGGGGAAGAAGAGGAAAACACAAGCAACCAAAUACUCUUAAAUGUGCAUAUGAGGGAUCCCGAAAGUAGAGAAUUUGAGUAGGAGAAAAGUAUUUAAGAUUUUUAUUUGGGAGAAUGUUUAAUAAAUAUGUUGCCAUGUGUAAAGCAUGAUGCCAGAAUGAUGGUGGCAUAGAUGAGUGAGCAAGAAGGGUUCGAAUCAAGUUGUUUAUGGUUCGAAUUUUACGUUCGGCUUUCCCGUUUUGAGAGGAGGUGUGGGGACACGAGAACCGAAAACUCAUACCAUGGUUGCGAUAAAAAGAUUGGAAAUGUUCAUUAUCAAAUUCCUUCCCGUUAUCACUUUGAAAACAUUUAAUUUCCUUCUCAAAUUGAGUUUUAAUAUAAGCCCUAAAGGAAAGGAAACUGGUGUAGACUUGUGAUUUCUUGCCAAUAAGAAAGGACCAUAGAAAAUUAGAAUAAUCAUCAAGAAAAAAAUAUAAUACUUGUGUCCUGCUGAACUUAAAACGGGAGAUGUCCACAAGUCACUAUGAAUAAUGUCAAAUGGCAUAGUAGUACAAGAAGUAGAUGGAUAAAAUGGCAACCAAACAUGUUUUCCAAAAAUACAUGAAACACAAAUACUAGUGCAUGAAGAUUGUUUACAUGUAAUCAAUUUAUUAUUGCAAAGAGAGCGAAAAACUGAUGCUCCCGGGUGGCCCAAACGAUUAUGCCAUUAAGAAGGAGAAAGAGCAGCAAAAGUUGAUGGAGUGGUGGCGGGAGGACUCAUGGUAGUGGAUAAGGGGUAUAAGUCUCCGGUGCUAUCACAUCUCAUUAUGGGAAUCCCCGUCUGCAUAUCCUUCACAGAAAACCCAAAAGGAUCAAAUUCAACAGAAACAUGAUUAUCAGUUGUGAAACGACGAACAGAAACCAAGUUUUUAAUUAAGUUUGGGGCAUGGAGGACAUUGGACAGUGUUAAGGGUGGAUGAGGUGGAGAUACUGAUUUUUGUCCAUAACCACGAAUCGGAAUAACAUAACCACUGCCAACAAUUAUAUUUUUAUUAUUGCUCGAAUUAAAAUAAGACGAAAGAGUACCUUGCGACGCCGUUAUAUGCGAAGUAGCACCGGUGUCCAUGUACCAAUUGUCAUCGGGAACGGUGAGAGACAUAGUAUGCAUCGCUGCUUCAAUAUCCGUGGGUGCACAGGAGAGGGAGGGGGAGCUGGGCGCCUGAGCGCUGUAAGCCUGCUGCGGACGUUGUCCUAAAAUUCUCGGUUGACGUACUGAUGGGGGGCGUGUCCAGGAAGAUGAUGGGUAAGGGCAUGGAGGCACUGCCCAACCCGAUGGAGCCUAAUCGGCGUUAUCCUGCCACCAUGGUGGCGGAUGCUGCCAUGGACAGGGAUGGGUGGUCUGUUGGUGGUUGCCGCCACCGAAGGACUGGUUUGGACCACCCUUUCCUCGUUCGCGUCCGCUAUUAUUCUUCCCUCUAUUAUUAGUACGGUUGUUCUAGCUAUUAUUGUGAUUCCCACGUCCAUCGGUAUUGUUUCGAUUUUGACCAUUACCAUGGCUUGUUCCCCGUCCAAAACCGUGUGUCUCUUCGGUGCCGGUGUUGGUUGUUACGAGAGCCGUGCCGGAGGCACUUGACGCCAUAGCCACCUGUUUGGCUUUGCGCGUCUCUUCGAGAAUUAGUUUCGAGCGAGCCUCGUAAAACGGAGGUAAUGGGUCACUUUGUUGUAUGAACGUAGCCACACUAUCAUAGUUCUCAUUUACUCCCGCAAUCAAUUGGAGAACCAACCUGUGAUUAUUAACCGGAGCCCCAACAUUUGACAGUUGAUCCGCAAGCAUCUUGAGUUCUUGGCAAUACGCCGAGACAUUAGGAAAAUUAUCCAUAUGAACUUGGGUGAAUUGAUUUUCCAAGUAAACUGCUCGUGAGUGUUUGUUGUCUUGAAAAAUGCUUUGCAAGCGUUCCCAUGCUUGUUGUGCCGAAGAGUCAGGCUCCAAGAUAGUGUGGAGGAGAUCGUUCGAAAUCGUUCCAUAAGUCCGUUGAAGGACUAUUGCAUCCAAAUGAGACCACAAUUUAUUGUCUUGAACUGUCGUCGUCUCCUUACCCUUGUCAGACGACAUGGGUGGCGUAGGGAUGAUAUGGUCCAUCACCUGAUACGCAUGGCAAUAGAUCUUAAAAAGCUCUGCCCAUAACAAGUAUUGUCCUUUCUCCAUCUCAAGAAUAAUUGGGAUAAAGUUCUUGACAUUGCUUACAGCUAGGGCCGGAUGGAAGCGUGAGUUAUCAGCCAUGGAGAAUGAGAGGAGAGGAGAAAAAAAAACGAGAUAAGGUAGAAGAAGGAGAUGGGCGAUAGAGAAAUACCUAGGGAACGACUAGGGUUUAUGGCUCUGAUACCAUGUUAAGUAACCAACUCAUCUAAAAGCUUAAGCUGUUAGAUGGAAGGCCCAACAAUGUAUAUCAUGCUAACAGAAAUAAACAAGGAAGCUAAGUCAAAGGAAUGGAGAAGAAAUCAAAGGACUGGAGAAGCAAAAGGUCUUUUUGGGUUUCACAAACAAAUCUCAUCUCCCAUCUCAUAUCUCUUAUCCUUUUGUUCUUUUUGAAAGAGUUGGGGAUUAUAUCUUCUCACACACAGAAAAGGAGAAAGCUAUUCAAUAAAAAAAGCGCAAAUUUAUUGAAGACAUGUAUCCGACAAAAAAAGGGUAAAAAGUAUUAGUGAACAACAAUUUGGUGAAUUUUAAGGCCUUGUGUGGAUUUUCUUCCGCUACGGAGUUAAUAUAUAAAAUGUGUGUAUAUAUAAUUUUUUGAAAAAAGGAAAAAAAAACUUGUGCAGAGUAUCCCCUACCAAAUUGGUACAUUCUUAUCAGAAUUGGGGAGUACAUCAGUAAUACGGCAGCAAUUGCUGGUUUGAUUUUGGAGCAGUUGAUGAAGUUGUGAACAUACAGGAACACACUAACCCACACCCUAUUUCAUCUGUCAUUUUCAAUAUAUAUAUAAAGGGUAAUUAAGUCUUUAGCCAACUCAACUAACGGAGUUAAAACGGAAAAUAUUUAUUUACUUCAACUCAAAAAGUCGAGAGUUUAAAUAUAGAUUUACUGACUACAGGUAGUUAAGUGAAAAAAAUCCCAAACCCCAGGUGAUGAUCUGAACUUUACUCUUUAUUUUUUGCUACUACCGGUACCGUGUUUAGUGUUAACAUUUGUUUUCAAAUUCUUCUUUUAUUCAAACCAGUUUAAAUGGCCUUGUUAAAAGAGAAAAAUGAAAUGCUAAAAUGUAAGAAAUGAAAGAUAAUGAGAGAGAAAAAGGAUAAAAGUGAAUAAAUAAAUUAAGGGUAAAAUGAGAAAGUAAAAAAAAACUUCACUUUUUGGUUUACACAAAAAAAAAAAUUCGUCAUUUUUAAGGAAUUGAUAUUUCUACGAAUAAAAAUAAAAGUUCCACAAGAUUCCUCUCAAAUAAAUAAAUCACUCACUCCAAUGAGUAAGAACUUGUGGAAAUAACAAUUCUCUAUUUUUAUCGCUUUAUAGAUACAUAUAGUGUUGCACAAAUGGAAUGUGGCCUGCGACCUGGCCUUGAUCUGGUCUGAGCCCUGCCUGGUCAAAACAAGGUCUGGUCAAAGUCCGGACAAGCCAGGCCCGGGCUGCUAGGCUGUAAACAGAUCAUUGCUUUUUGACAAAUAUUCGAUCUGACCUGGCCUUUCAAAAAAUCUAAACUGGCCUGGCCUUCGGCCUGAUCCGGCAUUUGGCCUAGAUCGGCCUAAAGCCUGGCAUUACUCAUUUAAAAUAGGUUCCAUCGCUCCAGUAGUCCAGCCUCACCUAGCCCAGCACCCAUCGGCCAGCCCAGUCCACACAUUACUCUAUCAGCUUAAUAACGGCUACAAGCCUACAAUGACAGUGACACAAAGCAAUUGCCAAUACACUCUGACUAGUGACUAGUGACUAGUGACUGGUAACAGGCUAGUGACUGACUAGAAUUUGCAGGCCUAAUAGGCUAGUAUGCUUAAUUAGGCUACUAAGGCUAGUAUGAUGCCUCCUCAUUAUUUUUAGUCUUUUACUAAUAGGCUAAUAGGCUAAUAGGCUAAUAGGCUAGUAAGUAUUCAUUGUUGAAUGACAAUUCGGAUGUCAAAUAAUUUUUAUUUAUCUAAAAUAAUUAAACUACACAUAUAAAGAAUGAGACAAUAAAGGAUUGUAUAUAUACUUUUAGUUUAUUAAAAAUAGAAAAUUACUUUUCUUUUUAACGCUAAACGUAUUAAUUAAUUAUGAGAAUUAAGUAUGGUAAUUAAUUAUGAGAAUUUAAUUGUAUAGUAAAUAAUUGAUACUAUAUAUAUUUAAUUAUAUACAAUCAUUUUUCUUAUAAUUGUGCAAUUAAGGGACAUUUAAUUGUAAAAGUAUUGUUUCUCAAAAUCAAAACAAGACUUCGUUUGAAACUUAAUAUUUUUUUAGUUUAAUAUAUUAAAUGUUUUUAAUUAACUUUUAAUAAUUAAAAAAUUCUAAUUUAUCUAAAAAUAUUAUUAAUUAUUUAUAUAAUUUUAUAAUAAUUUAAAUUUAAAAACAUCAUCUUUGCAAAGUAAUUGGUGAGUUCAAUAUUAUAAUACCAUUAUUUAUAUCACAUGUGAGUGGAAUGCAUUCAGUAGGCCAUUUCAUUGAUUUUAGACUUUUAGUGAAGUUUCAUUUCCGGUUAAAAUGAGUCAUGAGAGUACCAUAUAUAAUUGUAAACUAUUGAAGUAUUGUGAAUUGAAGAUAAAGGAAGAAAGUUCAAUGAACUGUCCAAUCCAAAAUAGUUGACUAGCAAAUUCCAAUAAGCAACGUUUAAAAUUGAGUUGUCCUGUCCGUUUGAUAAAUCAUAAAGCUCAGUAAAAUAAAUAAAUUAACAAUACAAAUAAAUGGUUAUAUUUUACUCCUAUAAAAAUCAUUUGUUAAACUGCAAAGCAUUCACAAUUCUCAAAUAUAUGUAUCGAGUAUUCUGCAUUCAUUUUUUCCACAACUCUAUCAGUAUUCUCUUUAUUCAUAAUCUUCACAUCUCUCAAUUUGGUAUUUUGAUAUUCUCUAAUACUUACAAAGUUUCGAUUGUUAUUAUUACAAUAUAAUGGAUUCUUCUAACACUCCACAAGAAUCACAAAUGUCGCAAUCACAAAUUGAUCCAAAUAUCAUUAUGAUCGAAAGUGCAGUUUCGGGUUCGAGUACAAUAUUUUCACAUCCUACUGGUGAGUAAAGCAAACGUACAACGGCUGUUUGGGAUCAUUUCAUCGAAGUGUGGAUUGCAGAAGGUAUUAAAAAAGCCUAAUGCAAAAUAUGUAACAACUUAUUUGGAGUUAAAGGAAAUAACACAUUACUUCGCACCACGAGUCGUGUGUUUGAAGAAGCAUAAAAUAACUGAUGAAAGCUCUCAAUCACAAAUUGAUCGUUCUAGUCACAAUUGGAGUUACGAUCAAAUAUUAAAAAAGGAGUGGCAAGCUAAGUUAGUGAUCGAGAAGGAACUUCCAUUCAAUUUUUUUGACGAUGCGCGUUGUACCGACUACAUUUAAGGCGCAUUGCAAUCAAAAUAUAAAAGUAGAAUGACUACAAAAUGUGAUGCAAUUAAAUUACAUAACAAAGCUAAAAAUGAAUUAAUUGAAUACUUUGAUAAUUUUGAUGGUAAAGUUUGUUUAACUAGUGAUACUUGGUCUGCUAAUUAUCAACCUGGAAUUAGUUAUAUUUGUAUUACAGCUCAUUGGAUAGAUUCUAAAAUAUUUAUGCAAAAAAGAAUUAUAGGAUUUGAAUAUUUUAAAUUACCACAUAAUGGUCAAUCAAUAUAUGUUCAAAUUAUGUCCAUAAAAAUUCGUACUUUUAAAAUUAAAGAUAAAAUAAUGAGUAUUAGUUUAGAUAAUGCAACAAAUAACACUGGUUCUAUUAAUAUGUUAAAAAAUGAUUUAAAGCCUUUAGUAAAUGGAGUAUUGUUUUCAUGUUAGAUGUGUAUGCUAUAAUAAAUUUGAUUGUACAAUCCGAAUUCACUUAAUUGCAAGAUACAAUAAAUAAAAUUCGUCGUAUGAUUAGUUUUAUAUGUGGUUUAAAUAGAAGAAUACAAGAUUUUAGAACUUUUUGUCAUGCAAGAGGUGAAAAAUUUAAAAGAGUAAAAUUUGAUAAUAACACUAGAUGGAAUAGUACAUAUGAUUUAUUUAAAGAUAUUUAUAAACAUCAAAAUAUACUUAUGGGGUUUUAUAACACACAAAGUGAUCAUGAAAUAACAAAUCAAGAUUGGGAUUUAUUAUGUCAACUUUUAAAUAUUCUCAAAGUUUUCAAGAAACACACAAAAUUAUUAAGUGGUGUUUAUUAUCCUACAAUUCAUCAUGUUCUAUUUGCAUGUUUGGAAAUAACAAAUAUGUUUAAACAAUAUAAAUAUGAUCCUGUUUGGACUAAUCUUAUUUUUAGUAUAGAAGAAAAAAUUUAAAAAUAUUUUGAAGGCAUGCCUAUUGUUAUUACUUGUGCAGCAGCAUUAAACCCCAUAAUAAAAUUAGAAGGUGUGGAAAGUGUUUUAGAAGAUAUAGUAGAAAAUAUAGGUACUGAAAAUAUUGAUUACAUUAAACUAAAUUUUAAUAAUACAUUUACUGAAUUUUAUAAACAAUAUGAGUCUGUAUAUUCUACAUCUACACGUGCACCACCCCCUCCCCCUUCAUCUUCUAAGUUUUCAUCAUUAUCAAAAAAACCAAAAACUUCAUCACACACAAGCAAUUUAAACGAACUUGGUUUAUAUUGUAGUACUGAUUUUAGAAGUUUUAUGACCGACCAAGAAUUUGAAAAUUUUGAUAUACUUGCAUUUUAAAAAAAGCAUAAUCGACAAUUUCCUACUUUGGCCGUCAUGGCCCGUGAUUUACUAACUAUCCAAGCUAGUACGGUAGCUUCGGAAUCUUAUUUUUCUUUAUCUGGCAGGGUACUGAAUGAAAAAAGAAGUAGACUUAGUCUGGAUUCAUUAGAGAUAUAUAUUUGCUAUAGAGAUUAUCUUGCCGCACAAAGAAGAAUCAAGACGUAAUAGAUGAUCAAGAUAGCUCGGAAGAUCUUGAAGUCGAAGCAGGAAUUGCCGAAAAUGUACAUUCGUGAAGCUUGAAGAUAUACUUAUUUUGAAGAUUUGAAGACAAUUUUUUGUAAUCGACUCAUUAUUGAUUAUUAUUUAAGUUAUACUUUAAAGUUAUAAAGUUAUAAUUAUUCAUCAAAUUAUUGAUUCAAUAAAUUAUUACUUAUUUUGUUAUUCAUUAUUGUAAUAUGUAAGUCGUAACUUAUAAGUUAUAAAUUGUAAUACAUUAC
rnacentral:lncRNA from 1 species